ACAUUACUAAUAUUGGUUGGGUAGGUGGUUUGGAUGUGGUUACUUUUGUACAAGCCUAGUGAUAAAUAAGAAGUCUACUACUGAACUUCCUGACCACAACUGGCAUGAAGUGUGUCCCUGGGAAUAAGCAUAUGCUCUUCAAGGACAACACCUAUGGAGUAUGAGUAUGAAUGCUUAUUACCAUGGUCAACAUCAUUAUCAAGAUACCAAUGGAGAUUUGAAUGAAGACAUUUCCAAAUCUUUGAAGAGGGAAGAGAGAACCACAGUGUGAUGCAAUGAGCUCAAAUAUGUGCAGGUGUUCAAAGGAACCAAUAAAUGCAAAAAAAAAAAAAAAAGCUGUUGCUAUUAUGAUGAUGAUUGACAUAAAAAUUUAUAAGAAUAUAUUGAAAUGAUGACAGCCUUGAUUUCCAGGAAAGUAAACUUCAAAAGACUGUAUUAUUCCAGUGAGGAUCUUCCUGAUGGCCAAGGUGAGGAUGUAACUAAGGGGCUUGGACUGUUUUAAGCUAUGUUAUGAAAACUUGGAGGGAGGAAGCAAUAAAAGAACGAAAUGCAGCAGGCCAGAGCCAGUUGGCAGUACUGAGGGAAAAAAUGAUUGCCAACAACUGCACUUUUCAGUGAGACAAGAAUGUGAUCAAAACGAUGGAAACCUCAGGGAUCGCACAUCAUGUCAGCGUACUUGCCAGACAGCAAUCAAAUCUUCAUGUAAUGUACCAGAAAAACCACUGUCAAAAAAACCACAGUCAAUUUGUAUUUGGUUAUGAAGCAUCUUGGUUGUUCUCAACUUUAGGAGUAUGAUGUUUCAUCUGCCGUAUGUCCUAGAAAGUUUGUUGGACAAGAGCACUGAAUAGAAAAAGAAAAACAAGCCUCUGACAUCAGUCUUGAGACAGAUAAUUCAAACACAGAUGAUGCACUCCAGAGCACAGAUACUACUGAACCCUCUUAAGUCCCAGUUUUGUAUUAGGCUCUAAACUAUAUUCUGGGGUGGGGAGUAAUAGGUUUAAAGGAGGGAGAACUAAAAUAAUUGUCUUUAGGGUUGCUUAUUUCAGCUUAGUAUGCAAAAGUUUCAGCUUUUCUCUGCAACCUGAAGUUGCCUAAUAAACUUGCAAAGGAAGGGCUUACUGUCCCCUCUGCCUCCCCAAGCAUUGCUGUAGAUAUUGCACAUACAUUACUUAAGUUAACCUUCAUGACAAAUCCAUGGGAUAGAUAGUACUAACUCCUUCAAGAAGAUUUAAAAACAGGCAUCAGGAGACUACAGAACCUAUUUAGGUGAGAAUUGAACACAAUCUGUGUUACUAAAACCUAUAUGUCAAUCACUCUAAGGAUUUAACUGCCAAACCCUCUGCCAACAGGAAAUAUAAACGAUGCUGUAUGAUUGGUCAAAAUCCUAGGCAGCAUAAUCUGAAAAAGGUAUUUCUAAUAUAUAUAAUAUGAUGCCUUUUAUGUAUUAAUUCAAUGACAUGCCCAUAGAAAAGAAGCAGCCUAAAACAUUGGAAUCUUGUAAGAUUUAGCUAUGCCAAUUUUCACAAACACAAGUAGAACAGAUAACAAUUACCUUAGCUAUCUAUGUUCUUUUGCAAGUAGUGAACCUUCCAUGAAAUCAUUCACAUUGUUACCCUACUUGGCCUUUUGACUCAGCAAGGAGGCAUGCGAUCUAUGUGUCUGAAGGAGAAAGCAAACUACAGUGUAGUUGAUGAGCCGUGACCACUGCUACCAGGUUCGUCUCUCUUAGAUUGUUUUGGUUUGGGAGAAAAAGGCAGCACAUGCCACUCUUGUUACCAAUACCCGGUUAUGUGAUUGAAAUAAAAACCACCUGUUACUAUGUGAGGACCUAGGGAACUGCAGCAGUAUGGAGGUAGAGGAAUAGUAAGAAUGAAAUGAAUUGGGCCAGGUGCAGUGGCCCAUGCCUAUAAUCCCAGCCGUCUGGGAGGGAUUAGGGUAGAUUGC